rnacentral:rRNA from 1 species
AUGCUUUUCCUAAAGAUUAAGCCAUGCAUGUCUAAGACUAAGAGGAAGCAAUUCUCUCUGAAUCUGCGAACGGCUCCGCAAACCAGUUGUAAACCGUAGCAAGGCUGAACCGGUGAAACCCUCGGGCGGUAGCCGGCGAAAUAAGGAUAACCCUGGUAAUUCUGAGGCUAAUACUUGACAAACCGAACCGUCCUCGGCGCUCGCGCUGGGGGCGGGAACGUGCGAUGUUAAAAGCUGGGAUCUUAUCAUGAAUGAACG